rnacentral:rRNA from 1 species
GACUUGAGAGGGUGAUCGGCCACACUGGGACUGAGACACGGCCCAGACUCUACGGGAGGCAGCAGUAGGGAAUCUUCCGCAAUGGACGAAAGUCUGACGGAGCAACGCCGCNUGAGUGAUGAAGGUGUUCGGAUCGUANAGCUCUGUUGUUAGGGAAGAACAAGUGCAAGAGUAACUGCUUGCACCUUGACGGUACCUAACCAGAAAGCCACGGCUAACUACGUGCCAGCAGCCGCGGUAAUACGUAGGUGGCGAGCGUUGUCCGGAAUUAUUGGGCGUAAAGGGCUCGCAGGCGGUUUCUUAAGUCUGAUGUGAAAGCCCCCGGCUCAACCGGGGAGGGUCAUUGGAAACUGGGAAACUUGAGUGCAGAAGAGGAGAGUGGAAUUCCACGUGUAGCGGUGAAAUGCGUAGAGAUGUGGAGGAACACCAGUGGCGAAGGCGACUCUCUGGUCUGUAACUGACGCUGAGGAGCGAAAGCGUGGGGAGCGAACAGGAUUAGAUACCCUGGUAGUCCACGCCGUAAACGAUGAGUGCUAAGUGUUAGGGGGUUUCCGCCCCUUAGUGCUGCAGCUAACGCAUUAAGCACUCCGCCUGGGGAGUACGGUCGCAAGACUGAAACUCAAAGGAAUUGACGGGGGCCCGCACAAGCGGUGGAGCAUGUGGUUUAAUUCGAAGCAACGCGAAGAACCUUACCAGGUCUUGACAUCCUCUGACAACCCUAGAGAUAGGGCUUUCCCUUCGGGGACAGAGUGACAGGUGG